AAAAAAAAAGGCCUGCCCCGAAGAAAAACUAUUUUACCAGAGCUAAAACUAGUUGCUAUUGUUGCAGAGCCCAGUUGACCUGGAGAAGGUAAAUACCCUACUCCAGCUAGCUCUAGCAUGUCACGUGCAGAAAAAAAAUAUCCAACUCUGGUUCACUCCAGCCAGGCUGUUCCAGGGAAAGGGGAUGGGAGUGGAAAUUGAGAAGUACUGUGAAGUUCAUAAUCUAAAGAUAUAGGGUGAUUAAAAAACUGAGACUCUUCCUACUGCCAUACCUGACCACCACAUUACUAAAGGCCUGUUUACUGCAGCUUCUUUGACCCAGGACAUUAUGUCAUGCUGCCAAGAAAAAAUUACAAGGCAUACUAACAGUCAAGAAACACAGUUUGAAGAGAGAGAGAAAACAUCAGAAACAGACUCAGAUAUUGCAGAUGUGUUGGGACUAUGAAACAGGAAAUUCGAAACAACUAUGUUUACUGUGCCACAAACUUUAAAGAAUAAGGUAGAAAGCAUGCAAGAACAAAUAAGAAAUGUGAGCAGAGAGGUGGAAAUCCUAAGAAAAAAAUCAAAAGGAAAUGUUUUCAAUCAAAAACACAGCAACAGAAAUGAAUACUGCUUUUGAUGUACUCCUUAGUAGACUGGAUAUGGCUGAGAAAAGAAUAACUAAACUUAAGGAUACCUCAAUAAAAACCUAGAGGAAAAUUACUGAAGAAAAAAACAAAGAAUGGAAUAUCUAAGAACUGUGGGAAAACUAUAAAGGGCAUAAUAUAUGCAAAAUGGAAGAUGAGAAAGAAAAGAAGAGAAAAAAAUAUUUGAAGCAAUAAUGACUGAGAACUUUCCCAAAUUAAUUUCAGACACCAGGCCAUGGACCCAGAAAGCUCAGAAAACACCAAACAGGAUAAAUGCAAAAAUAACAGAGGGUUAAACAUAAGAAUUACAUUCAUCUCCUCCUCAGAAAUCAUUCAGGUAAGAAGAAACUGGAGUGAAAUAGUUCUGAGAGAAAAAAAUUAAAAACUACCACCCUAGAAAUAUGUACUCUGCAUAAUUAUCUUUCAAAAGUAGAAGAGAAAUAAAUACUUUCUGAACCAAACAGCAAUGGAAAGAAUUUGUUAAUAGACCUGCCUUGCAAGAAAUGCUAAAGAAGUUCUUCAGAGAAAGAAAAAUGCUGUAAAUAAGCAACUCAGUCUGUAUAUAAAAGAAAGAUCAUCAGAGAAAUAAAAAGUGAAGGUGGCAAGAAAGAAAAUCUGGAUACAAGACACACUGUUGAACACUACCAGCCCAGGGCCCAAGUGGCAUAAUUGUUUGGGAUUCAUGUGAAAUAUUCAGCAGAUAACUAA
rnacentral:lncRNA from 1 species